GGCUCUUGCUCUCUUGAAACUCUUAAUCUUCAAAGCUUUCGAACAGCGAUCCUUCUACUCGAAGCAAUCACCGGCACAAUCAUACAAGCAAACAAACACAUACAACUAAGAGUAGUACACCAAAACAAAAGACAGGCUUUAAAAGAGCGUAAUAAAAGAACAUGGCUCGAUUCUAGGAUUACGCAGACGCAGGAAUGCUUACAACGGAACUAUGCUUGAAAAGAUAAAGCUAUCGAGAGUUUUGAGUUACCAAAGGAAGAUAAGAGUUACAAGCUUCGUUUAUUUUAGUUGAGAAAAGCAAUGUAAAGAUAUUUCACAGAAAUAUCCUUAGUUAGAAUUAAUCAAGUCAUAUUUAUAUUUUCAUAAGAAAAGACGGUGUAAAGCUUAGUCCAAUUUUAUUUAUAAAUAUUUGAGUACAAUUUAUGCAAAUUAAACAUUUAAUUUAAAAAUAAGAUACAUGUAGCCAUCUAAGCGUAUAGCUUUACAUCUCGAGUUCAACUAAGUAGAUUAAAUUAAAAACACAUUUAUAUUUAUAUUAGCCAAAUUAAUAUUUAAUUAUGAAAACUCGAGAUAUAACCUAUACAUAUUUUAUUUAGAAAACAAAUUGAAUAAACAUUAAUCAAAUUGAAUUUAAUUUAUGAAACGCCGAGGUAUAACUCUAAGUGGCUUUUAAUUGGAAGAAUUAUUUAGAUAGGCAUUAAUCCAAUUAACUUUAGUUUAUGAAAAACUGAUAUAUAACCUAAUUGGAUUUUAUUUAGAAGAGGGUAUGAAGUAGGCAUUAAUCAAAUUAACAAUUAUUAUGAAAAAUGAUGUUUAACACUAAAUAGAUUUUAUUUAGAGAAAAACUCAUUUGUCAGAUAUUAAUCAAUUUUAAUAUAAAUUUUAUUUUCAAAAACAUGUGUGAAGGAAAACAUUACCACUAACGUGUAAUUUACAUUGUUAUGCAUCUAACGUAACUUGAACGAGGUUAAACGGAGCUCAAACGUAGAAUCUAUGGAUUAAACGACGAUGCAGGGGUCUAAACGUAAUUAACCGUAGACUUGGAGGGUUAGCUGAGAAGAUUGACAAGAUACAAGGAAUAGGGCUCACGAAAAGCUGAAAACUCGGGGUUAGAUCUGCAAAAGGUCAAGGUUUGGAUUAGAUUGAAAGGAUCUCAAAGUUACAGGGGGUUUUCUACAAGUUUUGCAAGACAAAGAAAUAGGAACAGAAAUUAAUAGAUUCUCUAGGGGCUAGAUCGAAAAGCAGCGCUUCAUCUUCUUCCUCACGCCAGGGGCAUGGCGCAGCUCCUGGCCGACGGCCUGCCGGCGUUCCGGCGCGGUGGAGGCCCAGGCGGGUGGUGCAGGCGGCGGUGGCCGAGCUAGGAGCCGACGGUGCGCGUGCAGGCAACGGCACAAGCGAGCAGGAGGUGACUCGCCAGGACGGACCAUACGGCGGCCAGUUACGGACGGUUCAAUUGCGUACAGAAACAGGAGAGAGAGAAAGAGGGGAUAGACGAAAAUGAAGUUCGAUCUCACGCAUGAAUAGCAAAAUGGAACGAUAUCGACGAGACAAAUAAGAUGGUGUGCUCACCUUCGGCCAGAGAUGAACAAUGGCGGCGGAAAAGCUCGUCGGAGUUGGAGAAGACGACGGAGCCGAUAUCGGAUUCACGCAAUCCACCACACCACGGCGUAGAGCUCGAAGAGAGGAACUCCAUGGUGGUGUCGGUUUUCACCGGAAG
rnacentral:lncRNA from 1 species